rnacentral:tRNA from 1 species
UAUAAUUUAGUGUAUGAGGCACGAAAGACUUUGAAACUUUCAGAGAUAGUUUAAUUCUAUUAAUUAUAA